UUUUGGCCUUGCUGAUCCACUCAUCCAUCAGGGCCACUUCUCCAGUGCUGCAUUAAUGGAGAUGGCAUGCUGGGGGACAGGGCAAGGACACCAGGCUUUCUGUGUGGUGGGGAGGACUGGGAGGAGAGCAAUACUGGGAUGUGUUUGAAAAGGUGACCUUGGUGUAUCUACACAGAGACACAGAAGACGUUGCAGCAGAGGGAGAUCUGACUCCAACAUCUGUGACGGAAAGCAAAGACCAACAAGUCCUAUCUGGAAACUGGUUUGUUGAUGAGUCAGGUGCUGAAGCAAUGACAACAAAACAUAUCCCGUGCGGACCUUGUGUAGAUGUUUUGUGGAUGCAAGGAAUGCAAGACUGGACUUUUGUCAAAAUGAAGUUUAUAUACACGGUUCUAGAAAGAGCAUCUCAAGGAUUAGGCCAUGGGUGCAAGACUCUACACUUGCUGUUUUUGAAUCUCAUCAGGUUCCUCUCUGCCCAGCUCUCCAGCCUGUCCAGGUCUCGCUGAAUGGCAGCACAGCUUUCUGGUGUGUCAGUCACUCCUUCCAGCUUUGUAUCAUUGGCAUAUUUGUUGAGGGGGGGACUCUAUUCCUUUGUCCAGGUCAUUGGUGAAGAUAUUGGACAAUAAAAAUAAAUAGCAAAAUAUUAUUGGAAAUUAAUCCAUUUCAUUCAUCAAAGUCUACAAGAUAAGUGAUAAAGUCAAUUCCUGGUGUAACUUUCCUGUGAGACGCACCAGCCCUGCAGCAGGACGGUAUACACCGAGUACUAUCCUGUAAUGUAGAGAAGACAGCUUAACCAUGAGAAAUCUACCAGAGUUCCUGGAUAGUUUUUGAACAGAACUGAGGAAACAUCUGGUAUUUAAUUAAGAUUUAGCUCAUGGUUAAAGACACCAAACUGGCAAUUGUUUUAACACAUUAAGAUACUGCUGUAGAGACAGGAGGGGGGAAUCCACUCCUCAGAACAGCACUGAGAAGGAAUAGAAGACUUUGCAUACCAUUACAGCCUGUCCUUCCAUUUUAUGUCCUACCCAGACUGACCAAAGAAAGAAAUCUCUUUGCUCCCCACAUCCCUUCAUUGCUCUUCCAAGGGAAGCCAUGGUGACUGAACCUCAUGAAUUUUCCAUGAUCUGAAUUUUUGUGUAGACCUCUUAGUGCCAGGAGUUAGACGCGUUGAUCUGUAUGUGUCCCUUCCACCUCGGGAUAUUCUAUGAUUUCAUGACUCUAUGAUACCAAUUGGGCCUCCCAGAAGCAUGAAGAUGAGGCUCGUUUGGUGCUGUGCCAGUUUUUGCCAUAAAAGUUAGAGGAAAUGCUCCCUCAGUUUUACUGAAAGAAGGUGCAGAUACUAUUAAUGCUUACACAUUGAAAUAAAUGGUCAAUAUUUCACUGAAAGAUUGUUUUUACGAAGAACUUAUGAUGUAAAAGGCCUUGUGUUAAAUCAUACAUUAAAAUAAAGCUUGCAUACAGUUCCCAUUUAUUAUGGUAAAAUUGUGACAGAUGGAAAAACAUUAUUUCAUCAGAGAUUACAUUAAUGCAAUGUGUAUUUUUUUCAGUGACAGUAUGCUUGUACACUUACUUGAUGGAUGGAAGGCAUUUAUUUAUAGCUGGCACAUAACUACACAACUAUUUACAUAUCUAACUGCCAUUGACAUGUCAAAAUACUAUUGUGUUUUUCUUUUGUGGUACAACUAGAACUUUCCCCA